GUGAGGAAUAUUGGUCAAUGGGCGGGAGCCUGAACCAGCCAAGUCGCGUGAAGGAAGAAGGAUCUAUGGUUCGUAAACUUCUUUUGCAGGGGAAUAAAGUGCAGGACGUGUCCUGUUUUGUAUGUACCCUGAGAAUAAGGAUCGGCUAACUCCGUGCCAGCAGCCGCGGUAAUACGGAGGAUCCGAGCGUUAUCCGGAUUUAUUGGGUUUAAAGGGUGCGUAGGUGGUUUGAUAAGUCAGCGGUGAAAGUUUGCAGCUUAACUGUAAAAAUGCCGUUGGAACUGUCGGACUUGAGUGUAAUUGAGGUAGGCGGAAUGCGUGGUGUAGCGGUGAAAUGCAUAGAUAUCACGCAGAACUCCGAUUGCGAAGGCAGCUUACUAAGCUACAACUGACACUGAAGCACGAAAGCGUGGGGAUCAAACAGGAUUAGAAACCCGGGUAGUCC
rnacentral:rRNA from 1 species